rnacentral:rRNA from 1 species
CCUACGGGAGGCAGCAGUGGGGAAUAUUGGGCAAUGGAGGAAACUCUGACCCAGCGACGCCGCGUGAGGGAUGAAGGCCUUCGGGUUGUAAACCUCUUUCAGUAGGGAAGAAGCGAAAGUGACGGUACCUACAGAAGAAGCACCGGCUAACUAUGUGCCAGCAGCCGCGGUAAUACAUAGGGUGCAAGCGUUGUCCGGAAUUAUUGGGCGUAAAGAGCUCGUAGGUGGUUCGAUACGUCGGAUGUGAAAAUCAGGGGCUCAACCCCUGACCUGCAUCCGAUACGGUCGAGCUAGAGUUUGGUAGGGGAGACUGGAAUUCCUGGUGUAGCGGUGGAAUGCGCAGAUAUCAGGAGGAACACCGAUGGCGAAGGCAGGUCUCUGGGCCAAUACUGACACUGAGGAGCGAAAGCGUGGGGAGCGAACAGGAUUAGAUACCCUGGUAGUCCACGCCGUAAACGGUGGGCGCUAGUUGUGCGAACCUUCCACGGUUUGUGCGACGCAGCUAACGCAUUAAGCNCCCCGCCUGGGGAGUACGAUCGCAAGAUUAAAACUCAAAUGAAUUGACGG